rnacentral:rRNA from 1 species
GCGCAGCAGGCGAGAAACCUCCGCAAUACACGAAAGUGUGACGGGCCAUCCCGAGUGCCGUCCGCUAAGGACGGCUUUUCCCCAGUGUACAUAGCUGGGGGAAUAAGGAGAGGGCAAGCCUGGUGUCAGCCGCCGCGGUAAUACCAGCUCUCCGAGUGGUGGGGACGCUUAUUGGGCCUAAAGCAUCCGUAGCCGGCUGGGCAAGUCCUCCGUUAAAAUCCAACGAUUCAAUCGUUGGGCUGCGGGGGAUACUGUCCAGCUUGGGGGCGGGAGAGGCCGACGGUAUUCCCCGGGGUAGGGGUGAAAUCCUAUAAUCCCGGGAGGACCACCAGUGGCGAAGGCUGUCGGCUAGAACGCGCCCGACGGUGAGGGAUGAAAGC